CUUCGUCACCAUCGCCACUGUCCCCGUCAGUGCUGCUUUGCUGCCGUAUAUUGAGACCGUAGGACAUACUCUUAUCGUCCUCGCCGUGGCCAUCGGUGGCGAUCUCGAAGCGAAGGCCUUCGUUGUCGGAUUUGAGAGUGGGAAGGAGGUCGAGGUUCUUCAUACGCUUGUGAGGCGUCCAUUCGUUCUCUUUAGGGGGGAUGAUGAGAUUCCGAUUGGAACUGGGUAGGGUUUUUGAGGGAUCAAAUUCAGUGACAUAUUCUUUUACAGCGCCACUGUUUUGGCUAACAGUAUUGGAUUCAGAGGAAGGUUUAGGUUUAGAUGUGGAUUUGGCGGCCGAUUUAGGGAUUGAGAAGGAGAGCUUCAUUGCCUCUAGAAUUUUGGAUGAAAAUUGCAACACCGACGCUUUGGUCUUCCUCCACGCCGCUGCUGCAAUUCUAUGAACCUCCCCCUUUUUGUUUAUAUGACUAUUUAGGCCAAACGUCUUGAGAAAUUUACGAUUCUAACCCUCUGUUUAUAUUAUAUUCACUCCAUCCAAUAAUUUUUUUAUUAUCCUACAAUUAUUAUUCACUUAUUUUUUAAAAAUUAUAAUAAUAUGUAAAUUAAUAAUUAUAACUCUAUUUAAUUUAAAAUAAAUUAUAUUUUAAUUUAUAAAUUUUAAUAUAAUUAAUAAAUUAAUAUUUAUAUUUUUAAAACUGAAUAACUAAAUUUAUUUAUAAUCGGUCUAUUCAAAUUAGAAAUUUUUUUAUCUAUUUUAAUUGUUAAAAUUAUAAAAAAAAACUUUUUAUUAUCUUUUUAAAUAGAUAAAAUAUAUUUAAUCCUUUAAAUUUUAUUAUAAUUAAUAGAUUUGUUUCUAUAUUUUUAAAAACAUACACUUACAUUCUUCUAUAAUUAGUUUAUCUCAUCAGCUAUAAUUUAAACAUUUUUAUUUUUUAUUUUUUAUUUAAAAAAAUACUUAAAUUUCUAUUAAGUUUUAUAUAUAAUAUCUCAUUCAAUUAAUUUUUAAUACUUCUAUUUUUAAUUUUUAUUUAUUAAAAUAUUUCAAUACUUAUAAUUUUAAAAUUUUUAAAAAAUAUUUACUAUUUUAACUAUUUUUAAGUAGUACCAAAUAAAUUUUAAAUAGAUUAUAAAAUUUUAUAAAGAAUAUUUUAGAGAGAAAGUAUACUUUUAAAAAAGUUUAAUUAUUCUAUAAUAGAUGAAACCGUUGUAAUUUUAAAUAGAUUAAAUAUAGAGAAAUUUAAGAAUUUAAUUUUAAAAAUAAAAGAAUGAAUCUGUCAAUCACGUUAAAAUUUAAAAAUUAAAAUAUAUUUUAUACGAUAUAAAAUUAUCAUCUAAUAAUUUUUCACAAUAGUAUUUUAAAUAUUUGUAACGCUUAUUCAUUUUAUUCUCCCUUUAACCGAUUGACAAACUAAAUGAUUGUAUAAAAAUUUAAAUAUUUGAUUUUAAAUAUACAAUUUAAAUAUUUGAUUUUAAAAAUAUAGAAAUUAAUUUAUUAAUUAUAUUAAAAUUAAAAAAAUAAAGUAUAAUUUAUUUUUAAUUUUAUUUUAUUUUUUAAAUUUUUAAAAAAUUAUUUUAAUAUUUAAUAAAUUUUAAUAUAUUUAAAAAGAUAUAAUUAAAAAAAUAAUAAAAAAAGUUAUAUUUCUUAUAAAAAAAUAAAAUAAAUAAAAAUUAUUAUAUAACGGAAAGAAUUGUAUUAUAAACCUAUCAUAUAAAUACUCACCUGCUUAAUUUGGUGUUAAGUGUUUAGAUUCUACUCUACUAAUCUCCAAUUUUUAUUUUUUUUUUAAAAAAAAACCUAUCAUAUAAUAAAUUAAAUUAAUUUUUAUUUUCUAAAAUUUUCAUUAUCAAAUCUAUAUGCGAUUCUCGCAUAUGCAAUUGUCUGACAUUCUUUAUUUUAUUAAUUAAAAAAAUAUAAUAAUAUAAUAUAUCUUUUCUUUUUUUGAUAUUUUAGAUUACAUUGGUAAAAAAAAAUCAUAAACAAAAUUUUCAUAUUGUAGAGAUUGUAAUUUCAAACUCUAUUGCCCAUUUAUUCUUAGGGAAGUUUACAAUUUAGUCUUCAACAAAUCGUUCCUUUCAUCAUCCACUGUUACUCUCUCUUUUCCAUUAAAAACUAAGAUGAAAAGGAGAGAGAAUAUUUUGAAAAUUCAAUUUUAGCCUUUGGCCUUCCUGCGUUUAUUGAAGAACCCACCAUCCACACCUUCCGGCUACCUCCUCAGCUAGUAAAAAAAGAUUACCAGCGACUCUACGAUUACUUCUACUCCUCCGCCGGAUCCCUCCUUGACGAGGCUGAGAAGAUGGGUCUCUCGCGAGAAGAAGCUCGUCACAAUAUCCUUUUUGCCACAUGCUUUAACACCUUCGGAAGCCUUAAGAUCUUUUUCCCGAACAUACUCAAGUGGAUCGGUCAUGCAGGAGUGAAGCUUCAUACCCAAUUAGCCUAAGAGAUCAGAUCAGUCCUUAAAUCCAACGGAGGACAGAUCACGAUGGCUGCUCUGGAACAGAUGCCACUAAUGAAAUCCGCUGUGUACGAAGCAUUCCGUAUCGAACCGCCGGUACCAGCACAGUACGGGAAAGCAAAGCGUGAUUUGGUCAUCGAGAGUCACGACGCAGCUUUUGAAGUAAAAGAAGUUGAAAUGAUAUUCGGGUACCAACCAUUCGCGACGAGAGAUCCGAAAAUAUUCGACAGACCCGAUGAGUACGUUCUGGAUCGAUUCGUCGGCGACGGAGAAAAGUUAUUGAAGCACGUGCUGUGGUCAAACGGACCAGAGACAGAGCAUUCAACGGUGGGAAACAAACAGUGCGCGGGUAAAGAUUUCGUGGUAUUUAUAUCAAGACUUUUCGUGGUUGAAUUAUUUCGACGAUACGAUUCGUUUGAAAUUGAAGUUGGAUCAUCGCCGUUGGGGUCUUCCAUCACCAUUACGUCGUUGAAGAGGGCGAGUUUUUAAGGCGGCUGUGGAAUAGUAAUUAAAGAAAAAAAUUUAUAGGAAAAAUUCGGAGUCGUCUUCACAGAUCUCGACUUCAGCAUCAGUUAAAAUUAAUUAUAAAAAAAAAAAAUCGAAGGAUGUCUCAGCGCAGGCAUGCUUGUAAUAAUUGAACUAAAAUUUGCAGGGGGGCAACGAUGUCGGGGUGGUGAAAGGGAUCUUUGCUUCUAUCAAUUAUAAUUUACAAUCUUCAUGUGCGGUUGAGAUUGAAUGGGAUGUUCUUUAAUUUAUGAAAUGUAAUUUAUGAAAGGUAGCCGGAAGGUGUGGAUGGUGGGUUCUUCAAUAAACGCAGGAAGGCCAAAGGGUAAAAUUAAAUUUUCAAAAUAUUAUUUCUCCUAUUUUAACAGAAAAGAAGCUAAUAGUGAAUGAAAUGAACAAUUUGUUAACGGGAUCGAUUUGUUAACACGUUUUAAUAGAUUUCUAAAAAUACAGGAACUGAAUUGUUAAUAAUGACAAUAAUCAGAAAUUAAAUUAUAAAUUUACAUUAUUUCUAUUUACCUAUGUGAAAGAGGUUUUUAAAAGAAGCCAAUGAAAAACUAACAAGUGGCAUAUUUGUACCAAUUAUUUUUCAUAUUUAAGUUGUAUUUUCAUUUUGUUCUGCAUCCUGAUACGCUCACUCAAGCACAAAGAACAACUCCUCUUUAACCUCAUAUGUACAAGUAGAUGAUGAAAUCUCCUCUUAAUGAAUCUAAACCAAUAUUUGGCAUGUGUGAAAAACAUCUUUUUAAUCAAAGGAAUUACCCCAUUUGAUUGAUCUAAACAUCAGAAAUUUAGAAUAGACUAUCUUUAAGGCUUCCCCCAGCGAGCAAAUUGAAAAAUGAUUCCUCUUUGUUGCCACUGUCCAUUUCAGAUUCUGCAGAAUGAAGACUUGUACCCGUUGUACUAGAAGUUGAGGUUACCGGUCUUUUAACUGAGAUGAAUGCUGCUGUUGAGGGUGCAGGUCUUUUAACCGAGACAAAUGCUACAGAUGCCGAACUCGACCUUGGUGUCAAAGUUUUAGAGCUUGGAGAUGAACUUGAGAUUGGAAGCAUGUCACCUUCUGGUGGGAGUUUUUCAUCUGGAGUUCCUGCAUUAUCUGGGUUAUCUCCCAGGUCAACACCACCUUCAACUUCCUUCCUGUCCACUCCGUCUUUGGCAGGACCCUCAUUCAAGUCCUCAAAGUCAGAAUCAUCUUGUAUCCCGAAAAAAGUAGUAUGAGGGAAUAUAGCAACAAAAUCAUAAAGGCAGCAAAAAUAUUAAGGGAAGGAAAAAAAGAAUGAAGAAUGUAGCAAUCUAAGAUUACAAUGAAGUAGAGUAAAAAAAGGUGCUAAAACAUGUAAAGACAGCGAAUAUAAAUCAUAAGCCCAUGCCUAGAACUUCCCAAAAAUCACUACAGCAAUUGCAUAUAGUUGACAAAUAGCAACCCCUUGACAAAAGACUCACGCCAUAUGCAUCAAGGAUUUUGUUCUCCCCAACUUGUAUGCACGUUGAACAGUUUAAGCAGUUGAUAGGAAAAGGUUGUAUAUUUUCCAAGGUAUUUGUCAUGUUAGCAUAUUGCCAAGGUUCUAAUUUAAGGCAUGUUAAUUAAUGCCUAAUGGCUGAUCUACAUAUUCACUAUUCACAUUUAUAACUAGAUUCUAGAUUCUAGGUAUAAUUGCACUACACCAAGCUCCAGUGAGAGUUAAGGAGUGGGAAAAAAAAAAGAUUUCAUCGUUGUUUGAUUCUGAAAGGAAAUUAGCGACAAUCCCAAUUAAUUAUCAAAGAACAAUUCAUCGUUUGAAUAAAUAAUCAAGAUAUUCAUCAAUAGGAAUUUCUCAAACAAACUGGUGUUGCACUUAAUUAAGCAAAGUCAGGUUAAAGUUUUAAUGAGUGCAUAACUACUGUCUGCAAAAGGCAAUAGUUGAUAUUGAUGAAGAUUAUGCUGCAGUUGUACAGUAAAUAAAGUUGCACGCAAUCACCAAACUACUUGGUCAGUUGGUCCUAAAUCUCCCUCACCCGUUUCUCUUUUCUCUUCAUAUUUAAGCAUACAAAUCACCUCUAGCUAACUAAACGCCUCUACUUUUUCUAGAUAAACGGAACAAAAAUUCAGCUAGAAAUCUAAUCAACAUUUAUGUGAAUGCAUCCAUUUCUGAGAUAUGGUGUCCAAAAAACUGGCGCAAGUGAUCCCUUGGAGUUCCAAAAUGAUGCUAGACACAUCUACUUUAUGCCAUCCGCUCUUCUAUUUAAUCUCAAUCAUAGCUGAGUUCAGCUCCUCUGAAACCAACAGUGGAAAGGCCUCAGUAUUUUUUUCACCCAGUUUUGUGGACUUGGCCAAAAUCUAUAUUCAAGUUACAAUUACAACUUCUAAUGCAUAACCUCUUUUUUGCCUGCAUGAGAACAAGCCACCUAAAAUAGAAUAUUCAUCAAACUUACUUUUGUUAUGUAAAUGCAUAAUACAUGUAAUCCACAUCAAGAUACCUAAGAUCCCAUGGGGAAAAAAAAAAGAUAAGGUAAGAAACAAAAAGAAAAAACUCAGAAUAUCUGGAUUUUUAUUUUAAGUAUUUGCACAACUGAUAAUGAUUUAACAGCACUAAAGAAAAGUCAACCAAAAACUCUUUCUAAAAGUUUACUACACACGAAAACUUGAUUCAUGAUUAGACAAUGUCUGAUGGGACCAGACUAUAUCAUCUUUGCAAGAAAUCAUAAAGUUGGACAUUGAAAUCCUUUACUUAAGAUACAGGGAGGCCAAGAAUAUAUACAUAGAGAUGUACUAUGGGAAUAUUUAGAUGGCAUUACAAAAAGAAGAGCUGAAGACAAAACCUAGUAGCAAACAAACAAGGAAACUCUCAGGUCUGUUGGAUUUGCACAACUAAUUACCUCUUAUAUAUACAAUGAGACCGCAAUCAUGCCUAAUAAGUGGCUCAUUCGACAUGUGAUGAAGUUUUCAUUCCAUUUCCACACUAAUAGCUCUUUAAGGUCAAACAUGACAGUAUGAGCAGUUCAAUAAAAUAUAUAAACGAUGAUUCAAGCUAAAAGAAGCUAAAUACUCAGACAUAAUCGAAUGCAAGAACUGGUUUAUGGAUAGACAGAAGUUCAAUUUCAUAUAAUAUCAAAUAAGCAAUGACAGAACAACAACAUGACAAAAACUAAAUUCCUUAAUGAGUGUAGAAAGAGUGAAGCGAACUAUAUAUCAAAAAAGGCAAUCAAGCGAAGUAUCCCAAAGUACCUAUUGGCAGCAUGGACUGGAGAUGCAGGAGCAUCAAUAUCCAAUGUAGCUGGGAUCUCCAAGAUACUCUGCAAUUUGUUCAAGUUUGACAUUGAGCAAUUCUUGAGAAUCAGAAUCUUGCACAACCCCAGUCUCUUGGUCCAAAUCCCUCUGAACCAAUUUCCCAUAUACUCCCUUGUGCCUCCCGUAGAGAACAAGGACAGGACCCCCACGCCGUGGUAAAGCAGUCUCAAGAAGAUCCUGAUCUAUUCCCUGUACCAAUUCCUUAGUCUCAUCCAUCGAUAUAUCACAUACAUAUGGCCCAACCACAUCUACCACCUCCCCCUUCUUCAAAUAAAAUCUGCCUCCUUUCAAGUCCUUGCUUAUAAUUCUGACCCGAAUAUGAUUUCUGAGCCAUCGCUUUCUGUCAUCCUUCUCUUGACCACUGUCUCUCCUCAUACUUUCUCUGCUUUCUCUAAUUGGUUCAAUAAUGCGCUUUUCACUGUCCCUAUCCUUUGAUUGCUUUCCUUCUAUUUGUAACGUUUUCAACUUCCUUAAGCACUUCUCUUCUUCCUUAGAGCCCAAAUCAGCGAUAUCAGAAACACGCAGUUUUAGUUCCUCCGUUGUUUCUGAAAGCUUAGCAUCAUCUAGUCUCUUUGAAAUUCUACCCUUUGAACCCAAAAUGCCUUUUCCACCGGCAAUAACUCUGACAUCUUUACCAACAAAGAAACCAUCACCAUGUCCGUCCUUAACUCUUUCUCUUUUCCUCUCGUUUUGCCCGUCUCUAUCCUUAACACUAGUACUAGUAGUAUUAGAAGCAGGAGGAACAAAACCCAAACCUUCUUUAUCAGUCCUCUUGUGGUAUUGCUUGACUUUAACAUCUUCCUUAGCAUUUCUUCCGAUACCUCUGCCUUCAUGCCAACCAUAGCCAGCCAGUAAAGCCGCGCCAAAGCCUUCCACCGGUACAUCCUUAAACUCCUCAAAUCCUCGAUCCUCAGGCAACCGCUGGAGAUCGUACUUCAACUUCUCCAACAACAAAUUCUCAGUAGUUUCGACUUUCUGGUAAGAUUUGACUCCUUCGUCACCAUCGCCAUUGUCCCCAUCAGUGCUGCUUUGCUGCCGUAUAUUGAGACCGUAGGACAUACUCUUAUCGUCCUCGCCGUGGCCAUCGGUGGCGAUCUCGAAGCGAAGGCCUUCGUUGUCGGAUUUGAGUGUGGGAAGGAGGUCGAGGUUCUUCAUACGCUUGUGAGGCCUCCAUUCGUUCUCUUUAGGGGGGAUGAUGAGAUUCCGAUUGGAACUGGGUAGGGUUUUUGAGGGAUCAAAUUCAGUGACAUAUUCUUUUACAGCGCCACUGUUUUGGCUAACAGUAUUGGAUUCAGAGGAAGGUUUAGGUUUAGAUGUGGAUUUGGCGACCGAUUUAGGGAUUGAGAAGGAGAGUUUCAUUGCCUCUAGAAUUUUGGAUGAAAAUUGCAACACCGACGCUUUGGUCUUCCUCCACGCCGCUGCUGCAAUUCUAUGAACCUCCCCCCUUUUGUUUAUACGACUAUUUAGGCCAAACGUCUUGAGAAAUUUACGAUUCUAACCCUGUGUUUAUAUUAUAUUCACUCCAUCCAAUAAAUUUUAUUCACCUUUUAUUUUCUUUAUUAUUCUAUACUUAUUAUUCACUUAUUUUUUUAAAUUAUAAUAAUAUAUAAAUUAAUAAUUAUAAUUUUAUUUAAUUUAUAAUAAAUUAUAUUGUAACUCAUAAAUUUUAAUAUAAAUACGAAAUGAUUUUUAUAUUUUUAAAACUCUAACACUUAAAUUUAUUUAUAAUUUAUUUAUUUAAAUUAAAAAAUUUUUUAUUUAUUUUAACUGUUAAAAAUAUAAUAAUAUUUUUAUUAUUUUUUUAAAUAAUAUAAAAUAUAUUCAAAUUUUUAAAUUUUAACAUAAUUAAUAAAUCAAUUUAUAUAUUUUUAAAAAUAUACACUUAAAUACUUAAAUUUCUCUAUAAUCAAUACUAAUAUACUAUAAUUUAAAUAUUUAAAUUUUUUAUUUUUUAUUUGAAAACAUACUUAAAUUUUUAUUAAUUUUUUUAUAUAAUAUUUCAUUUAAUUAAAUUUUUAACACUUUUAUUUUUAAAUUUUUAUUUAUUAAAUAUUUUAAUAUUUAUAAUUUCAAAAUUUUCAAAAAAUAUUUAUAAUUUCAAUUAUUUUUAAAUGAUAUUAAAUAAAUUUAAAUAGAUUGUAAAUUUUUAUAAAUAGUAUUUUAAAGAGAAAUUAUACUUUUAGAAAGAGUUGGAUCAUCCACUAAUUUCAAUUCAAAUUAAUAUUUAUAAUAAAUGAAACCAUUAUAAUUUUAGAUAAAUUAAAUAUAGAGAUAUUUAAAGAGUCAAUUUUAAAAAUAUAAGAAUUGGUCUGUUAAUUAUAUUAAAAUUAAAGAAUCAAAAUGUAUUUUAUACGAUAUAAAAUUUUCAUCUAUAUUAAAAAAAAAUUCCGUGAAGGUAUUUUAAAUAUUUAAAAUACUUAUUUUCUUUUUUAUUAUGGAUAGAAAUACCUCAAAUUUGGACUAAAUGAUUAUAUAGAAAUUAUAAAUAAGAAAUCUCUAAUUUGAAUCAAAUGAUUAUAUAAAAAUUUAAGUGUUUAAUUUUAAAAAUAUAAGAAUCAAUCUAUUAAUUAUAUUAAAAUUUAAGGACUAAAGUAUAAUUUAUUCUUAAUUUUAUUUUAUUUUUACAAAUUUUUUUAAAAAAUCUUUUAAUAUUUAAUAUAACUUAAUAUAUUUAAAAGGAUAUAAUUAAAAAAUUAAUAAAAAAUUAUAUUUCUUAACAUAUAUAAAAAAAUAAAAUGAAGAAAAGUAAUGAGGAAUAGUAUUAUAAACUUAUCAUGUAACAAAUUAAAUUAAUUUUUAUAUUCUAAAAUUUUUCAUUAUCAGAUCUAUAUGCGGUUCUCGCAUAUGCAAUUGUCUGACAUUUUUUAUUUUAUUAAUUAAAAAAUAUAAUAAUAUAAUAUAUCUGAUUUUUUUAUAUACAUAUUUUAGAGCUUUUGUGAUUAUAUUGGUAAAAAAACAAAAAAAUCAUAAAGAAAAAUUUCAUAUUGGCAAAUAGAGAUUGCAAUUUCAAACUCUAUUGCCCAUUUAUUUCUAUAUACCUAUAUGAAAGUGGUUUUUAAAAGAAGCCAAUGAAAACUAACAAGUGGCAUAUUUGUACCAAUUAUGUUUUAUUUUCAUAUUUAAGUUGUAUUUUCAUUUCGUUCUGCAUCCUGAUACGCUCACUCAAGCACAAAGAACAACUCCUCUUUAACCUCAUAUAUACAAGUAGAUGAAAUCUCCUCUUAAUAAAUCUAAACCAAAAUUUGGCAUGUGUGUGAAACAUCUUUUUAAACAAAGGAAUUACCCCAUUUGAUUGAUCUAAACAUCAGAAAUUUAGAAUAGACUAUCUUUAAGGCUUCCCCCAGUGAGCAANNNNNNNNNNNNNNNNNNNNNNNNNNNNNNNNNNNNNNNNNNNNNNNNNNNNNNNNNNNNNNNNNNNNNNNNNNNNNNNNNNNNNNNNNNNNNNNNNNNNNNNNNNNNNNNNNNNNNNNNNNNNNNNNNNNNNNNNNNNNNNNNNNNNNNNNNNNNNNNNNNNNNNNNNNNNNNNNNNNNNNNNNNNNNNNNNNNNNNNNNNNNNNNNNNNNNNNNNNNNNNNNNNNNNNNNNNNNNNNNNNNNNNNNNNNNNNNNNNNNNNNNNNNNNNNNNNNNNNNNNNNNNNNNNNNNNNNNNNNNNNNNNNNNNNNNNNNNNNNNNNNNNNNNNNNNNNNNNNNNNNNNNNNNNNNNNNNNNNNNNNNNNNNNNNNNNNNNNNNNNNNNNNNNNNNNNNNNNNNNNNNNNNNNNNNNNNNNNNNNNNNNNNNNNNNNNNNNNNNNNNNNNNNNNNNNNNNNNNNNNNNNNNNNNNNNNNNNNNNNNNNNNNNNNNNNNNNNNNNNNNNNNNNNNNNNNNNNNNNNNNNNNNNNNNNNNNNNNNNNNNNNNNNNNNNNNNNNNNNNNNNNNNNNNNNNNNNNNNNNNNNNNNNNNNNNNNNNNNNNNNNNNNNNNNNNNNNNNNNNNNNNNNNNNNNNNNNNNNNNNNNNNNNNNNNNNNNNNNNNNNNNNNNNNNNNNNNNNNNNNNNNNNNNNNNNNNNNNAAGAUUGUAUAUUUUCCAAGGUAUUUGUCAUGUUAGCAUAUUGCCAAGGUUCUAAUUUAAGGCAUGUUAAUUAAUGCCUAAUUGCUGAUCUACAUAUUCACUAUUUCAAAUGCACCAAGAAAGCAUAUAGAUGGAAAAAACACACAGCUAGUUUCAUAGCCUUGAAUGUGUAGCAAACAGGCAUAUAUCGCACUGCAAAAGCUUAAAUCAGUUCAGGCAGACACAUCAUCUUCCCGUAUAAAACAAAGUGUUGCAUGCAAAACCAGUGGAGCUAUAGAAUGAUCAUGCAAAGAUGCAUUCCAAAACUCACAGACGAGACUGGUUUUCUCAAAAUAACAUACAAAUAAAGAGAACUGGGCAGAGGGUUAUCUAGGUUCUUUUAUGUGGGUGUGCUUCUUGUGGAACUGGAGAAAGAACCUAUUAAAAGAAACUGCUGCAUUACAAGAGGAUGAUGCUGCAGAUAUUCUCACCUCCAAGGAAAGACUCGAUGCUCUUAUACUGUAGAGCUGCUGUUUCAAUGGAAGCUUCCCCAAGAGUCCCAACUUGACUUUCUGUAUCGCUUUUCUGUGUUCUCUCAAGUAACACAAACUUGUCUGUAUCCCAUACGCACUCUAAAGUGACAAACUCCUUAUUUGUUGGAUAAUACUCUCUAAAAACCUGCAUCAAUAUUAAAUAAAAUAGAAUAGAAACUAAGAUUAAGUAAAAGGAUAUUUAAAAAGCUUUUAAAAAAGAAGGAUUUCAAAACAUGUAGGGUUCUGACCAACCUCAAUUCCUUCUUUAGUUAUUUUUAUAGACUGCUUCUUCUGGGAGAGAGAAUAGACCGUGUUGAAUACUGAAACAACAUCAAGUAAUAUCUGUAGGAGAAAACCAUAUGGAUGUUUCAGUCAGAAAACAACAGCACAAUUUUCACACACAGCAAUCAUCUAAUGAUCCAUAUACUGCACUAAUUUGAAACAUAACAAAUAUUAGAGAAAAAAACCGACCCCCCUUUGUACUUGCUUUCAAUCAUCUAUGCUACAUACUAACUCUAUUUGACAUCUAUUGUUCUGGUGAAUUAUUUUCUAAAUGCAGCAGCAACAUGCUCCCCAUAGUAAUGUGAAUUCUCAAGUGUUCAAGCUUUUUCUUCCUUAUAUACCAACUGUGCCUUUUUCUCACAACUUAGUUUGCACUGCAAUAAAUAGUUCUAGAAUAUAAGGAUUACUUACUUGCUGAACCAAAACCCGGAGGCGUGCGAGCAGAGCCAGAAUAGUAAGAGAAAAUCCCAUAAAAAAGGAACGUGCAAGCAAAACGGAUACCUCACUAUAAAAUGGUUAAGGGAAAAGUCCCAAAGGAAGAAACCAUGAGGCCUAGGCUGCUCUUUGAACAGUAGCCUAAAGUUAAACGGAGCUCAUCCAAACAACAAUGGUAAACAAAAGCCUAUCGAUAAACAGGUAAGGUCUAUAAAAGACAUACAAGGAAAUUGUAUUGAAGUGCACAAUAUAACAUGUACAUUACAUGCAUAUUAGUUGGAGUGUGCAAUAUCCAUUUCAAAAGAAAAAAAAUAUAUCCCAAAAAAUUCGACCAAAAAAAAAUCUCUAGCUACAAUGGCAUCAUAAACAGCUGACAACCAUACUUUUAAUUUCUCUUUUUAUGUAAAGUAAGUUACAGUAUAGGUAACUAAACCAGACGGUUAUAUAGAUGAAACACGACUCACCUAUUGAAGUCAAGGACAAAUAGAGAAUGGUGCACUACAUUUGCAAAUUAAUAUUCACUCAAUUCACCAAAUCAAUAAAACCACAAAACACAUAGGAAGAAAUCUAAAAUAUAUAUAAUAUACAUGGAAUUACUGAAGAACUGAAAAAAGAUUAUCCUAUUAAAGAAGAACUAAAGACGGAUACGUAGCUGCUUUCAGCAUUGGCUCAACCAUCUGCAACAGCAAAAGAGAACAGAUUAUUUAGUUUCAGCAUCUACCAUAACUCUAUUUAGUCAAUUAGCAAAAAUUUUAUCAUCUCCAACAGAUCAUAUGAUCAAAGAAUGAAACCCAUGAAACAAAAAAAAGGUUAUUGAUUUAUCAAAAAUGUCUUUGCUUUUAUACAGCUGGUAUAGAUAUAUAUAAAUAAAAUCACGUGGAAUCAGAAAAAGAUGAAAAGACAUCUACCUGAGAUAAUAUGCGUGCAGCUCCCAGAAGUCGCUCCAUAAAAUUAGGUACUCCACGGUCAACUUUUCUCCACUUCAAGCUGUAACAAAUAAUUUUAAUUAGGUCUUUCAAAAUAUUAUCCAUAUUCAAGAAAAAAGGAAUAACCUUGUACCAUAAAUCGAAAAAAAAAUAUCUGGUACCAUAACAAGUGUCUAAGUUCCUAGGCCAUGCAUCCUUACAUUUUAAACUUGGUGAACUUUACAUAGAAAAACAUAAAUUUUCCCUACUGGUUUGAGAAUACAUGCACAUGUUACAUUAUUCAAAAUCUUUUAUAAGCAACAAAUGCAUAAUUUUAUUUAGCUUAACAAAGCAUCCAUCCUUCAUUCCAUAGUCUUUUCCUUUAAUUUUUCCCAAAAAAUUUACCCUGUUGAUAUCACCAUGCUUCAUAUUCCAGCACGCUGAAAAUAUAUGCAAUGACUUGAUAACCAAUGGUAUGUUUGAAAUAUAAAAAAUAUACCUUUCCAGAAAAUGCAACUUUUGCUGAGGCUUUCUCCCAGUGAUAACAUGAAAGCAGGAAUCCAGCAACUCAUCCAAUUUGGCUGAUUGCAAAAGCCUCAAAUCUCUUCUCACCUAAAAUCCCAUUCCCAAUGUAUAAGCUCAAGUUAAAGAUAUAUAUAAGAAUAAAGACAAGAUAAUCUGUUCUCCAUAUAAGAGCAGAAAAUGCAAUGAAAGAAAACCAAGUUGAAAUAUGAAUUUAGAACAGUGUUAUAAUUUUUCAAUGAACCACUGAACCAAUAAUAGCAACUCACAGAUCAUUUUAAGUAAUUUUCAGAGCAAAACAUUUUUGUAUUUUUUUCUUCACUUUUUUGAGCAUCCAAGUAUCAAUUUGACCUCGGCAAACAAGAAAAUUCAAAAGAAAAAGAAAAUCCAAACUUCCCAUCAGCUCAAUAGAAGGCAACCUCACCCUAAACAAAAAUGACACAACAUUGCAUAGUUUUAUUUCACUUUCUCAAUUUUAUAUAAAGCAAACAAAACCCAUAAAUAGUUAACAUGAAAAGAAUAGUAAACCUCUCCAAAUUUGAAGUAUCAUUUCUUUACCUUCAGCAGAUACUGAAAAUAAGAGCUUCUUCUGUGCUGGUUUUUGUUUUUGUAUACAAUUCUUUCAAAGACCCCACAUUCUGCUUUGAGCUGCGCAAGAAAAGAUUUCAAUCGAUCCUCUGCAAUUUCAAUUUCAGUGCCCAUUAGAAUUUCUCAAAUUGUGGACAAAUUAGAACCAAAUACUGAAGUUUUUCUUAAUUGAGCAAAAAUUAGGGUUUUAUGGCUAUUUCAGUACGGUUAGACCGGUACUUCAGUAUGGUUAGAUAGGUAGUCUAAUAAGAAUGUGCCACACGGAAAAGCAAUUAAAUAUGUAAUCUCAAAAUUGAACCCUAAUAUGAGAUAAAAAUUCAACCAAUAAAUUACAGAUUCACCCUCAAGCUAAUACUUAACCGAAAAUAUUAUAAGUUCAGCAUUAGCAAAUCAUGAAUUGGGUAUUCACAAAAAUAACUUCUGCUCAAAUACAAAACCCUCUCAUGUAAUAUUUGAAAAUCCCUCAAAUUCAUUUAAAAUUCAUUUUAAUUUUUAAAGCUAUUUAAAUUCUAAUUCUUAUUUAAUUGAAAAAUACUCUAAUUAAUUCAUAUAUAUUUUUAAUUAAUAAUAUAAAUAAAAUAUAUCAUUUAGUAAUUUAUAGUUUAUGAUUCUAUGUGAUAUUCAAAUUUUAUUUAUUUACAAUAUGAUGAUCUGAGAUCCAGAAAAUAGGGUUUUACAGAGGUUCUGUAAUAGUGAAUAAUGCCUAGACCUAGAGGAGACUCCUCCUCCUUUUAUCUGUCUUCUUUUGUCCGCUAGUGACGUGGAACAAGCCGCCUAUCAUUGGGCCACCUGUCCCUGCCACAUUGAUUUGGACGUACGAGAAUAUCAGAUCCCUGCUUUGUGCGUAACAGCCUCUGACUCUUCCUGGGCGCACAUGCGGAUGGACCCACAUGAAGGACGGGUGGGUCUCCCUCCUGAUUCCGGGCUGGACCGGAAGAUAAGAUAUGAGCUGAGCCCAGGGAAGAUCUGUUGGUCGGGCCCAAGGGGUUAGGCCGACCUGAUGGAGGAAAUCGACUGGAGCUCGGUCUUAGAGUGAGCGGACCGGACCUGGUGCGUGUGUGAGGCUUGAGGGCCUCUGGAUAAUGGGCUGGUAUCGCGGGCCUGGCCUCAGACCGGGGUGAGGAAAUCCAGCGGUCAUCAAUUGCCCCUUUACCUUCUCGUCAGUUAUUGCCCGACUGACGAGGGGGUAAAUAUCGAGAGUAAUAAUGACCGCGCCGCCCCAGGACAAAGCUGUGCAGAGCAACUUUUCAUCUCAUUACUGUUUCACAUUUCAAAUUCUCUCUGUCUUCUCGAAACCUUUGCUCUCUUCUGUCUUCUGUGCGAUUUGCCUACAUCGUCCUUCUACCCCAGCCACUUUCAAGGUACGCUCUUCUCUUUGUUCUUCCAUGGAUAGUCCAAAGAGUAGAGUCCAAUAUCACUCCGGCCGUACUGAAAAAUUUCUUUUCUAAGGAGUAUUUAGAUACCCCUCUCUUUCGCAUCCGGGCCCCCUACCCAAACGAGAGGAUUGUUCUCCCUGAUCCUCCUCCUUCCGACCUGGUUGACCCCCAACAGGAUCUUAGCCUGGUCUUUUUCGCUAAACAAAGGGAGUUUGGCUUAACCUUCCCCUUUUCUCCUUUCUUUACCGAGGUCUUCCGGUACUUCAGAAUAACCCCUCGGAUGUUAGUUCCCAAUUCCAUUUUGUUCAUGUCUUCCUUUGAAUCUGUAUGUCUGAGCUGGGGGUUCACGCCCACGGUGCAUUUGUUUGUCUCCUUUUUCCGAUUAGUCAGAGCAAUCCAGGGUUUUUAUUAUUUUUCCCCUCGCGGGGGACUUUCAAUCUUUUCGGGUCAUAAAGACUCAAUAAAGGGCUGGAUGGAGGGUUUUGCAGUAGUGGAGCUCAAGAAGGAGUCCGGGCUCAUUUGGGACCUAGAACUCUCAUGGGAGGAUGUUUCACUGAACUGCAAUGACCUGCCCCAGCUGAGCCUUAUCGAGCAGGUUGGGUUUAUUCGACUGACUUCUGUUGAAAAGAAGUAUGAUGUCAAGAAGUGUAUGUUUGUGUCUAAUCUUCGUGAUAUUAGAGACGCGGGUACUUUACUCCACUUAGCUGUGUCAUUUUGCUUAUGUGAUCUGUGUGACAGGUUGUCUUACUUUGUAUUGAUUUUGGACUUUUGCAGCUUCCGACAUAAAGAUGGAGCAGAUCAAGCCCCCAAAGAACCUAAUACUGUCUCGCGAGAGUAUGAACGCUGCUCUGGACACUCUCCGAUCUGGACGAUCGGUGAAAGAGGCUACCCAGGAGGUGGCCAAGACCAUUUCUACCAGGACGAUGGGUAAGCCUCUUGCUCCACCUUCCUCCCGAGCUCCCAAACCAAGUACCCGGGGAGCCAGGUCUGCUAGGCCAUCCUGCCGCGGCAGGUCGAGCUCGACUCCCCGGUCUUCUGAAGCCUCUAGGUCUCAGCGGGCUUCUGGUGCAAAGGCGAAGGGGGAUCCGGAGACUGCUGCCAAAUCAGCUGAAGACCUCGAGCUCAUGAGGACGGAUGAUCUUCAGUCCUCUGCUGACGUCUCUGUGGAGCUUUUGGAGAUUGCCCCCACCGAUGAGGGGGGCCCAAGGGACACAAUUGAGGCUGACCCAAAAGGACAAAAUGUCCAGGAAGUCUCUUCUAGGGUAGUCCUUACGAAGGGGGCUGAAUCUGAGCCCGUGGAGGGGGCUCCUCCUCGAAGGAAGUCAGCAGCUGUUCCUCAGGGCGCGGCCAAGGAAAUCGGGAGUAAGCGUCCUUCUCCCUCUGACGCUCCUGCCCCUAUUCCUAAGAGAUCCUAGGCCUCCGGACGUACUGCCCCUACCCUACCUCCGCUCGAGAAGAAGAAGACUUCGGUGGUGCCCCUGCUUUCUGCUCCAGAUAAUGAUAUCCUGAACGCAAAGGACAUCACCCAUCAGUCUCCGGCGACCGUGGUCGCUGAAAUAAUCCGGGAGCGAAUGUUUGGUGGAGUCACGCAGGCUUCGGACCCUCGCUUGUUGGCUCUCUCUGGCCACCUGGCCAGCUCUACUCAAGAGCAGGUGGCCUUCCAAGCUCGGUCCAGAGAGCAGCUGGGGGAUACUGCCAGGGAGAUGCUCCUGAUGGUAAGUCUUGCUUGAUUCUUUUCUGUUCUUGAUUUGUUUCUGCCUUUCCUUACCUCCUAGCCUUACUUGUUUUCCCUUUUACUAGGUUACUGGCAUAUUCAUGGAGAUGGACGCCCGGAUCGCGCUCUCAAGGACUCUGUGAACCGUCGUAUCGAAGAGGCGCGCCUUGAGGAGAAUUUAUCCACGACCAGCAAUACCCAGGGCAAUCUCGCCGCUGUCCGGGAGGACUAUAGGUCCCUCCAGUUUGAUUUGCACGCGGCCUUGGAGGCCCGUAAGAAGGCUGAGGGAGAGACAGUUGAGGCGCAAAAGCAUGCCCAGUCCCUGGAAGCGGAGUUGUCUCACGCCCGGAGGGUUCUCAAGGAGUCUGACGAGAGGGCAGCUGCAGCAGAGGUCCGUUGUGAGGAAGUUCUGAAGCAGCUAUCCUCCACAGUGGAUGCGUGAGAGGGACGAGGCCGUGAGCCAAAAGGAGGAGGCCCAGCGCCAGUAUGAGCAGCUGAAGGUAAAAUUUGAUGCUGUACUGGCUCAAAAGAGUGAAGUCGUAGCUCGGGUUGUGGUCCUGAAGCAGGAGCUGAGUAAGCAAGCUGAUAGCGUUAAGGGCUUGACUUUGGCGGCAGAGGAGUCCAAACUUCAAAAUCAGCAACUCUGCCAACAAGUCAAAGCCCUGGAGACAAGGUGCUCAGCCCUGCUUGAAGAGGCCAAAUUAGCCGAGGAUAGGGUCCACCUGGAGGUCGAGAAGCGUUUAAGGGAGUAUAAGAAGUCCCCCGAGCUGAAGAAUGAGAUCCAGCAGGCCGGUGAAGCUUAUCUCCAAGAUUACAAGAAUUCUUUGGAACUAAAAGCCGAGGUAGCUGAGGCCUGCGAGAGGCGACUUGCAGAAUAUAAAGCUUCUGAUGAGAUGAAAACGACCAUAUGGAAUAAAGGCUUCCGCAUGUUCGUCUCUAGCUUCAACCGAGGCUUGAGGGAAGCCAGGCUUGCUCCUUCCACCCCGCUAUCAGAGCUCCGAGCUAAGGAGGAAGACUCUGACGGUGAGGAAGUGCUUUACGGGGAGGACGACAGGCCUUUGCCCAAAGGGGCCUCUCAUACUGCAGCUGAGUCUUCUGGGGCAGAACCCGAGCUAGAAGAUGAAGAUGUUGGCCCCCAGGGGCAGGAGAUCGUGCUUUUCAUAGGCACUGAAGGGUCUGAGCAGGAGGGUGCUGGGCCUCCCCUAGACAGUAAUGUAAAUAACGUAGAUGCAGAUAAUGUAGAUGAUAGUGAUGUAAAUGUAGAUGAUAAUGUGUCUAGACAUGUAAGUCCUUUAAGGACAGUUUUUCCUUCUGUAGAAUAGAUGAUUAGAAUAGAUUGUCAUACAUUUUUCUUUUAAUGAAUUCUUAUUUUCGUUUACUUGAACUACUUCUUGUUUUUCGUCUAUACUUGAGCCGUUCUUAUCUUUACUUAUCAGAAAUGAAACACUUAAACUAUAUGCUUCGUAAUUUUUCUAAGGAAUCCACAGUAUAGUUUUUCCUUUUUGUCUUCAAGCCCGUCAAAGCUGAAAUUCUACCAAUUUACUGAACUUUUGACUCAUAAAUUUAUUUAUUUCACUAAGGCAUUCUUAUCCGUAAGCUUUUUCUGAGCUGGACUAGCCAUACCCGUGAACUCUGUUUUUAACAGUGGGUUAAACUCUCGACCUACAAGUUUUUAUGAUUUUCGCAGGGACAUCCUCGUUUUUCUCUUAUCACUUCGUUACUAUGAGCUCGGGCACAUAGCCUUUGCUUAAAUAACAAUAAGUCAGAUCAUGUACCUUUUAAGGUGAUGAGCAGGGCUGGCCUUUUUGCUUUUAGUUCUGAUUUGAUAGGGACUGAAGGUAGGGUCUCAUCUGCUCAAACCAUUGGAUUUCUCCUCGAGUUGCCCCUUUACCUCCUCAGCAUUUAUUACAUGAGUGGUGAGGGGGUAAAUCCCUAGCUUUCAUUUGUAACUGCGUGGCUUCAUUUUAGACGAUUUUACCUUUCUUUCUGGUUAUGAGCUCGGAUACCUAGUCCCUCUUGAAGUGACCCUUUGUCAGUCGGUGCGGACCGACUCUGGGCUGUGUGCUCCACUGGGAUGGGGAGCUCGGCUUUUUGUCGUUUUCCUCUCUCAGGGUCACUUUUGCUAAAUGCUUGUUUACUGUGAGUUAAUCCGAGCUGUGGGCAAGGUCUCUUGCUUUUGUCGUGAGUCCGUCCCUUCAGCGGAUUAAGGAGCUCGGAUUCUUAUUCUUUGUUUAGGCUUUUGCGCUAUCUAUGUUACGGACUCAGGAGCUCAGAGUUUCGUCUUCCUCACUGCGAGGUCCAUGCUUAAUUUCUUGCCUUCUUGUCGAGCCUCAUACGGGCUGUGUUUCAGGGAUCCUGGUCAUUUUUGCUCCGGGGAGAUCUUGGAGAUCCCGCCGGCCGUUUUUUGCUCCAGGAGAUCUUACGGGAUCCUGGCCGUUUUUGCUCCGGGGAGAUCUUGGGGAUCUCGCCGGCCGUUUUUUGCUCCAGGAGACCUUACGGGAUCCUGGCCGUUUUUGCUCCAGGAGAUCUUACGGGAUCCUGGCCGUUUUUGCUCCGGGGAGAUCUUGGGGAUCCCGCCGGCCGUUUUUGCUCCAGGAGAUCUUACGGGAUCCUAGCCGUUUUUGCUCCGGGAGAUCUUUGAGAUCUUCGCCGGCCGUUUUUGCUCCGGGAGAUCUUUGAGAUCCGCCGGCCUUCUACCUCCUUGGGGUUUUUGCAUAAGAUUCGGGCUCAUCGGCCUUACUGUCGCUUCGUUAUUUCAGCCGGUUUUGUGGUGCCGGGGGCCUUUUGGGAGCUCGGCCACCUAUCUCACUGAGGUCUUUGGCAUUUAUGCCUGUUUCAUUUUUUCUUUUUUGUUUCUUUCAUGAAAGCAGUGUGAGUAGAGAAAGUAAUGAAUAAGGACUAUAAUCAACGUCUAUUUUAUUAUCAUGCUCUGAAAUACAAUAAAUCUUUUACAUUUGACGAUACCUCAGGGGAAGUACCUUUUCAAGUGUUGGAUAUUUCAGGCAUGGGACUCAGGGUUUCCCUGCAUAUUUUCAAUUCGGUAUACCCCUGGCUUGACCACUUUUGCUAUUCUGAAGGGGCCCUCCCAGGUCGGUGCCAACUUGCCUACUGCCGCUCUUUUUCCCGUAGCCUCCAAGUUCCUUAGGGCCAGGUCUCCCACCUUUAGGCUUCUUUCCCUGACCCUUUGGUUGUAAUAACGGGAUGCCCGUUGUUGAUAAGCGGCAGUUCGGAUUUGAGCUUCCUCCCUAACCUCUUCGAGAGCGUCCAGGUUGCUCCUUAAUUUGUCAUCGUUGGUGCUUUCGUUAGCAAAUUGGACUCGAUGAGUGGGGAUUUGCAGCUCGACUUGGACUACGGCCUCUGUGCCAAAAGCAAGUGCGAAGGGCGUUUCUUUAGUGGACGUUCUGGGGGUAGUUCGGAGUGCCCACAGGAUGUUGUUGAGCUCUUCCGCCCAGUUCGCCUUUGCCCCAUCCAGCCGUUUCUUCAAUCCCUGGAGGAUAGCUCUUUUGGUGACCUCUGUUUGACCGUUGGUCUGAGGAUGGGCCACUGAAGAGAACUUGUGUCAUAUGCCCAUGUUUGUCGUAAACACUCUGAAGGCGCUGCAGUCAAAUUGUCUGCCAUUGUCUGAGAUGAGCACCCUUGGUAUGCCAAAUCUACAGAUGAUGUGUCCCCAUACAAAAUCUAUCAUCUGGCGGGCUGUGAUUGUGGGAAUUGCCUCCGCCUCUGGCCAUUUCGAGAAAUACUCCACAGCCACCACUACAAACUUUUUCUGCCCCGUGGUUUUGGGAAAGGGUCCCAGGAUGUCUAUUCCCCAUUGUGAGAACGGCCACGGGCUGGAUAUGCUGGACUGAGGAGUGGCGGGACAUUGAUGGCGUUGGCAAACCUCUGGCAUACGUCGCAUUUCCGAACGAACUCUUCUGCCUCUCUUUUGACCGUGGGCCAGUAGUACCCUUGCCUGAAUAUUUUAUUAGCCAGUGUUCCUGCUCCUUCGUGAGCUCCGCACAUUCCCCUGUGUAUCUCUUCCAUUACCUUUAUUGCCUCCUCCGAACUCACACACCGAAGCCAUGGGCUGGAUUUUCCCCUUCUGUACAAGGUCCCCCUUACCGCUUGGUAAUUAGCAGCACGAGCUGCUAUCUUUCUUGCUUCAUCCUUGUCUUCAGGGAGCUUUCCUUUUUCCAGAUAUUCCAGGUACGGGGUCAUCCAGGUUUGGCCUUAUUCUAUCUGCAGCACAGUGGCUGUUUUAUUAAAAGCAGGCGUGCCGACAUGCUGUAUGUAUACUUCAUCAGGGAGCUGUUCUAGUUCUUCCUUAGAUAACCGACUAAGCAGGUCCGCUUCCUCGUUCUCCUCUCGAGGUAUUCUUUGGUAUUUAACUGUGACUCCCCGACCCUUGAGCUCAGCUUCUAUGGCUUUUACCUUUGCCAGGUAAUUCUGCAUGGUUGAGUCUCUGGCCUGAUAUGUCCCGGUUAUCUGAUUGAUCACCAGCUGGGAAUCACUAUUCACUUCGAGGUCGGUUGCCCCUACCUCCAUUGCUACCAGUAUCCCAUUUAUUAGGGCUUCAUACUCCGCCACGUUAUUGGAGGCCUUGAAUUCCAAGCGUAGGGCGUAGCAGACCUUAAAUUCUCCAGGUCCCUUAAGCAUUAUUCCAGCGCCACUACCCCCAGCGCCUGAUGCCCCGUCUACAUAUAACUUCCAGUUGAAUUCUCGGAAAGGUUCUCCUUCUUUCCCAUUCCCUGAUGCUUCUGAAGAUGGCUCUCCUCGCCCUUCGUUGAAUGUGCACUCUGCUAUGAAGUCGGCAAGGGCCUGAGAUUUUAUAGCGGUCCGAGGUCGAUACCUCAGGCAGUAAGGGCUAAUCUCAAUGGACCAAGCAAGCAUCCGACCUGAUGUUUCCGGUCUGUGCAGAAUCUUCUUCAGAGGCUGGUCUGUCAUUACUAUUCCUUGGUGACCUUCCAGGUAAACCCUGAACUUCCAGACUGCUAGCAAUAGAGCGUAUGCCAUUUUCUCAAUGUUCAAAUAUCUGACCUCGGCAUCUUUGAGCACCUUGCUGACAUAGAAAACAGGCUUCUGCUCUCCUUCUUCUACCCUUACUAAUACUGCACUGACUGCUUGCUCGUAGGCUGCCAGAUAUAUCAGAAGUUCUCCUUCCAAGGGGCUACUGAGCACGUGAGGCGAGCUGAGAUAGCUUUUGAGCUCUCUGAAAGCUUCUCGGCAGUUUUCUGUCCAUUCGAAGUUCGGCACUUUCCUCAACUUCUUGAAGAAUGGCAAACAUUUCUCUACCGACCUUGACAUAAAGCGAUUUAACGCCACUACUCUCCCAGUCAGUCUCUGGACGUCCCUUACGCAGGUCGGUUCGGGCAUAUUCAGUAUAGCCUCUACUUUCUCCGGAUUGGGCUCGAUGCCUUUCCCACUCACCAUGUAUCCCAGGAACUUUCCUCCCCUAAUGAAGAAGGCACACUUUGUUGGGUUUAGCGUCAUUCUGCACUGUUCUAACACCCUGAAUACCUCCCUCAGAUCUGCCACGUGCUGCUGGAAAGUUGGGCUUUUGACCACCAUAUCGUCUACAUAAACUUCUACGUUUCUGCCGAUCUGAUUUUUAAAGAUUUUGUUCAUUAGUCUUUGGUAUGUUGCCCCGGCGUUUUUCAGCCCGAAAGGCAUGGCUUCAUAGCAAUAGGUCUCAUCUUCUGUUAUGAACGAGGUCUUUUCUUCAUCCGACCUGUCCAUUGGGAUUUGGUGAUAGCCAGACAUAGCAUCCAAAGAAGACAUGUAAUCGAAACCAGCCGUAGAGUCGACCAUUUUAUUAAUAUCAGGGAGGGGAUAACAAUCUUUAGGACAGGCCUGAUUCAGGUCAGUAAAAUCUAUGCACAUCCUAUAUUUGCCAUUGGCUUUUUUGACUAAUACAGGAUUUGCUAACCACUGCGGGUACAUGACUUCCCUAAUGAAGCCUGCCUCUUCUAACUUCCGUACUUCCUCCCUGGUGGCUUGUUGCUUCUCCCUUCCUACCACCCUCUUCUUCUGCUUCACCGGUCUAGCGUCGGGGAGAACGUUCAGCUUAUGGGUCAUCACCUCUGAGUCAAUCCCGGGCAUGUCAGAAGGCUUCCAGGCGAAGCUCGAUGCGUGACCUCGGAUCAGGGUCAUGACUUCAGUUUUCUAUUCUUCAGUGAGGCCGGCAUUGAGGCUGAAGACCUUGUCUGUCUCUGCUUCUGAUAAAGGAAAACUCUCCAGCUCUCCGACCGGCUCUGUUCUGGCCUCUUUCUUCUCAUCCCUGACCUCUAGCACCUCUGAGUCGAGCUUCUCUUCGGCCGAACUCGAUUCUGCCACUGUAGCCAAGUACACUGCUCUCGCCUCUUCCUGGCUACCCCGGACUACUCCCACCCCUGCCUCUUUUGGGAAUUUCAACGCCAGGUAUCUGAUACUGGUGACGGCCUCGAAGUCAAACAGUGCAGGUCUCCCCAGGAUUGCGUUGUAGCUCAAUGGGAGUUUGACCACUAAGAACACCGCAUAAUGUGUGCGAGUUCUUGGCGCUUCGCCUAAGGUGAGGACCAGCUUCGCCUAAGGUGAGGACCAGCUUCACCUUCCCUUCCACAGGUACUAGGACUCCUCCGAUCCCCUUGACCGGUGUCUGAUCCCGGACCAACUGCUCUUCAGGGAUUCCCAUCUGCUGGAAGACCCGGUAUGGCAACAGAUUGACCUUACUCCCGUCAUCCACUAGGAUCUUCUUCACCCGAUAGUUGUGGAUGACGGCCUCAAUGACAAGGGCGUCAUCAUGAGGCAUCUGAACACCCUGAGCAUCCUCCGGAGAGAAAGUGAUGGCCACUGGGGAGUGCUCGACGACCUGCAUGACCUCGGCACUGCUGCUUUCCCCCCUUGAUUUCUCUUCUUCCCUCUACGGCUCAUCCGACCUCCUAUUCCCCCAACACAGGACCCAUCAUUCACUGGUCCAGCUCCUGCUCUCUUUGGCACUUGGGCUGCCGGAUUGGGCUGAGGCCUCUAUCCUUCCGGUUUUUUCACGAAGUUCCUGAGGUGCCCUCUUUUUAUUAGCCUCUCGAUCUCUGUGAUCAACUGGAAGCAGUUAUUGGUGUCGUGGCCGUGCGUACGAUGGUACUGACAAUACUUGUCAGGAUCGCGUUGGUUUGCUUCCGUUUUCAUAGGCCUGGGCCAUUGGAGGAACUCUUUGUCUUGGACGGCCAUGAGCACUUCGGCUCUAGAGGCAUUGAGUGGAGUCGGCUUCUCUGGAACCCACGGAGGGAGGGACUUCUGCUCUGAGACCCGAGGAGGGAGAGGUCUUUGGUCCCUUCGCUCCCAGGGCUGUCUGUAAGGCUCAGGCCUCUUGCCAUGCUUCCUUUCGUGCCUCUCCGGCCUCUUUUCCUCCAGGGCUUUCCCUUUAUUUGUCGGCCCUCUGGCGAACCUGCUUGUCACCAAGGCAUCAUCCUGCCUUAUGUAUUUCUCAGCCCGCUUCAUCAGCUCGGCCAGUGAGGUCGGAGGCUUCCUGCUCAAUGAGCCAAAGAACUCAGCAAAGGUCGUCCCCUUCUGCAUGGCCUCCACCGCCCUUCCCUCAUCGAGCUCGGGAAUCUGCAGGGCCUCCGUGUUGAAACGAGCUACGUACUCCCUGAGCGAUUUAUCUCUCCUCUGCCUUAUCGUCUCCAGGUAGCUCGUCUUCCUAUCUGCGGGCACCCCGGCGAUAAACCGGCUGAUGAAACGAGUGGCCAGAUCUCCGAAGCUGCUGAUACUUCCGGCCUCAAGGUUGUUAAACCACGCCCGUGCUGGCCCUAAGAGCGUCGUUGGGAAUACCUUGCACAUCAAGGCAUCUGACAAAGUCUGCAGCUCCAUGAAAGUUUUGUAGUUCAAGACAUGCUCCCGGGGGUUUCCGGCUCCGUCAUAGGCCGCCAUCGGUGGCAUCAUAAACUUCUUGGGGACAGUCUCCUGCUGCACCCAUUUCGAGAAGGGUGAAGAAGUGGGCAGGAGAGUUUGAUCCUGAUCCUUCGAUCUCAACUCGGCCAAGAGCUGCUCUCUCAUUUUCUGCAGCUUUUGGUCUACAUUCUCCUCCUCCUGCCUGGGCUUCUUCUCCAGGUGGUACUCCUCCUCCUCCGUUUCGCUCCUUGUCCACCUGGUUGUUCCGGCGGAAUAACUAUCGGCCCCAUCGUUCUCAAUCAUCUCUCUCACCCUCCUUCCAUGAACCCUAGCCUCUGGGUCUUCUUCUUCCCCAGCUCUUCUCCCCCUUUCUCCGGUUUCUCGGCUAAUUGUUUGGGGAUGGUUGAGGGUAGGUUGAGGUUCAUUGGUCUGGGGCUCCUCUACUACCGACGACGCAUUCACAGGGGUACUGAGGCCCCUUUGCUGCAUUAGUUGCCCCAGCCAAUGGGCGGUGUUUUAUAGUUGGAGGGCGAUGGUUUGGAGGUCCUAGUUGGACAAGGCAGUGGCGGGCACACUCCCUGCCAAGCUUGGCGAGGGGUUGAAAGGAAUGGGUGGUUGGUUGUUUGGAGUUGUAGGACUGGAAAAGGAGAACUGUUGCCCCUCUUGGGCAGAGCUCAGGUCAUUUGGAGUGUUAACGACAUUGUUUUCAUUAUGAUUAGCCAUCGUGGAUCUCAGUGGGUAUUGUAAGAGUGGAACUCCGGCGAUGAAAAGAUCUCCUUCGUUCCCACAAACGGCGCCAGUUGAUGAUCUGAGAUCCAGAAAAUAGGGUUUUACAGAAGUUCUGUAAUAGUGAAUAAUGCCUAGACCUAGAGGAGACUCCUCCUCCUUUUAUCUGUCUUCUUUUGUCCGCUAGUGACGUGGAACAAGCCGCCUAUCAUUAAGCCACCUGUCCCUGCCACAUUGAUUUGGACGUACGAGAAUAUCAGAUCCCUGCUUUGUGCAUAACGGCCUCUGACUCUUCCUGGGCGCGCAUGCGGAUGGACCCACAUGAAGGACGGGUGGGUCUCCCUCCUGAUUCCGGGCUGGACCGGAAGAUAAGAUAUGAGCUGAGCCCAGGGAAGAUCUGUUGGUCGGGCCCAAGGGGUUAGGCCGGCCUGAUGGAGAAAAUCGACUGGAGCUCGGUCUUAGAGUGAGCGGACCGGACCUGGUGCGUGUGUGAGGCUUGAGGGCCUCUGGAUAAUGGGCUGGUAUCGCGGGCCUGGCCCCAGACCGGGGUGAGGAAAUCCAGCGGUCAUCACAAUACAAAAAAUAUUUUUAAGUUAUAAAAGAAUUUAGAUACAUAUGUUACAUAAAAUCUAAAUAUGAGAGAUAUAUUAAUUCUUAAAUAUGAAAAAUUCACAUAUAUAAAUAUAAUUAUAUGUAUGAAAAUUCUUCUUAACAAAAUUUAAUUAGAUCGAAUUAGACAUAAAUUGCUUGAACAUUUAUCAUCCCUUACUAAAUCCAUCUAACCCAUAGAUCCAAAGGCUUAUGUACUAUUUUAUAUAAUUCGCAAUGCAUUUUUGUUUUGUCGAAAAGCAAAUCAUUACCAUUAAAAAAAAAUAGAGCAAAUUAUUAUUAAAUUAUUUAUAAGAUUAUCUUUAAUAAUUUUUAUUACAAAAAAUUCUUUAAUAUAUCUAUAAUAUAUAUAAAUGUGGGAAGGGAGGAGCAAAUAAUAGGAUUCCCUGUAAUGCCCUCCACUUUUUAUAUAAUUUACUCUUCCUGUUUAACAUAGGAAAAGAAAAAAACUAAAUUAGAAUAAAAAAUUAAUUUUCCUAGACGUGGGUGUGAUGUUUUUUUGGCUAUUUCCUUUUUUUUAUUAUUUACCACAACUAUUUAAUAUCCUAUUUAAUAUAGAAGAAGAAGAAAAAAAAACUUUCCUAUACAUGAAUGUGAUGUUUUUUUGGCUAUUCAUUUCCCAAAAUAAAAGAUUAAUUUUGCUAGACAUGGGUGUGAUGUUCUUCUUGAUAUUUAUUUCCUAAAAUAAAUAUUAAAAAAAUUUCCUAUUUGUGAAUCAACUCCAACAAGAAGAAAAAAAAAACUCAAUUAGAAUAAAAAACUAAUUUACACGACACAGAUGUGACGUUUUUUUAUAUUUAUUUCUUAAAAUAAUUAUUUAAAAAAAAAAUUCUAUUUGUGAAUCAAGUCCAAUAAGGUUCACUCACUACGUACAAAAGCAUGUUCAAAUACAAAAUUCUUAUUUGUUCUCUAAGUGAAGCAUGUUUAGUUUGUGAAAGUACAUCCAUUGGUACACUCUAAUGCUUUAAGUCAAUAAGGUCCACUUGAUAUUUGAACCAAAGCACGUUCUUUGAUAGACUCCAAUCCAUAGCAACUCUAAUAAGGUUCAGCUCACUUCAGAGUACAAUUAUUGCACCAAAGCAACUUCAAAACUUUAAGUUACAGAAAACCAUUCAGGUAUUGCUAAAUAUCUUUUUAUUUAAAGUGUAUUGCACACUGAGCUUCAAGGUCCAUUGAUAGUGUUAGUUAUUUAUAUAUUACUAAGGUUGUAUAAAGACUAGAUUUUAUAAGUAAUCUGUUGAAACCUUCAACAUACACUUUAAGGUUCAGCUAAUAUAUGUAUACUUAGGUAAUUUAUUAUUAGACAUUAUUCCAACUAAGGUAGGAGUGAGAAAGCAAGCUCAGAAGGUGUGAUUAUACAUCUGUGAUGUAUUUUCUGUGUUCAAGCUUAAUAUUUGUGCUUGUACAACGGCGUUGGUAAUUAUUUAAUAUUAUUGUAAUUUCAAUAAAAGAUUCUAAUUAUUUUAUAGAAUAUUUUUAUAAAAUAGUUGUAAGAUGGGUCUUCUAAUGUUAAGAGAUAAGAAUUUGUGACUAUAUAUAUGAAAUGUAUUUUCUGUGUGAAGACUUAAUAUCUGUGUUUGUACAAUAGUGUUGGUAAUUAUUUUAACAUUAUUGUAAUUUCAAUAAAAGAUUCUAUAUCUGUGAUGUAUUUUCAGUAUAUUAUUUCUUAAAGAAAUAGUUGAUGACAUUUCAAGUAAGUAUUUUACAAAAUAUUUAAUUAUUUGAUAUAUAAUGUUUAAUUAUAAAUUUCACAAAUUGUAAAAUUAUUUAUAAUAAUUUUUUAUAUUUUUCAGAACACUAACUAUUCUAAAUAAAAAUAACUCUUGGUAUAAAUCUUACAAGAAAUAUAGCUUGACACCCCAAUGUUACACAUAUUUAUUAUUUGCUAUAAUAACAUUAAAAUCCCUAUUUAAAAAGCAGGAGUUUUGCAGGGCAAAGAAUCAACUCACAACUCUAUCUCAUCUAAUUUUUCAACUCCAACCAAUAAGCUCAUAUACUAUCUGAUCCACAUGGCAAUAUGUCAUUUCGUGGGAUAGCCAAUUGUGAAUACACAAAUGGUGUAUGUUAGAGGGAAUACAAGAAACAAGGAAUGAUUAGUUAAAUACUACUGUAAAAUCAAUCUAAAGGCAAAUUUCUAAGUUGUUGUAUUGAGAGAGCUCUGUGUCUGUGGUGCUUUCUCCUUUUUUCUUUCUUUUUUUCCCUUUCAUUCUUCAAAGAUUCCAUCCAAUUCUAGCCCCCACCCCCCAACAAUUCCACAAUCAUGUUCUUUUAACCUUACUUUGUUUUUCUUGGAGAACUUGGAAAUGAUAUAAUAAAAUAAUACUCUACUUUUGUAAUCUUCUCUAAAUCAAUUACACAUAUCAUAUCAUUUUAGGCUAAAACAACCAAGGAGGAGGACAAGAAAGGAGGAGCGGAUUGAUAGGACGGUGUUUUAGCCUCAUUUUUCUAACUGGAAAAGUGGGUCAUUGCAUUUUAGUCGAAUUUAAUAGAGAGAGAAAAGAAACAUGAUCUGAUCAAGGAUUUGGGUGUUUUCUGCCCCCAAAUCCUGACGACUUUUUAAUGUAAGUCUGACAUCCAUAUCUUCCUAGUUAAUCUAAGGUACCUAAAUUUAAUAUUAUAGCAUAAUUCUUUUAUAAUGAAAUUUUUUGGUUGUUUAAAAUUUCAAACAUGGUUUUUUCCAGGUUUUCUUUCUAUUAUCAAUGAUUUCGUAUCUUCUUUUCUUUCAUCUCAUUCCCUCCAAAUAUUGAAUUCUUCAUCACUUGAUCUUGAUGGAAAAUAUGCACUUGCAUAUGUAUUUAUAAAUUUGUGAAGUUUACCCUUUUCAUUUGAUCCCUAAUUCACCUCUGCUAAAGCCAAAAGUUCUGCUGAAGUUAGUUCCAUUGAUACCAAAUAUACUACUAAAUGAUUGCAUGUAUAAAAUUGCAAUUUAAUAUUUAAAUUUCAAAUUUCAAAUCCACAUCAAUGAAUCCAAACACAAACUUAGAUAAUUUUCCCAUAGAAACUAAAUUCCCAACAGAUGAACAAGUAGUAAAACAAACAAAUUACGGAAUCACAAAAUGCAGUAUACAAAUUGAAAAUGAAUCUCAUUUUUCACAACUAAUAUACCGAUAGAUCAGCAGAAAAAUCCUCGAAGGUAAUUAAGUGAAUCAAUGAUCAAAUCACAAUGUAAUCCAACUUCUGAAAGCAAAUUUAAAAACAUGAUAUUAUAUAAGAUAUAGAAUCUUACCUGUUUCCAUAAGACCAAAGUUGAGGAAGGACUCCAACAAUUGGUUGGUGAACAAGUGAUGGAAAACCAGCUACUUCUGUGAAAUAGCAUUCGAAAAGCUAUAACAAUAGGUAAUCCAAGGGGGCCCCUCUUCAAAUAACUUAUUAUUAAGCACACUCAUCCCGUUCGAAUAAAAUAAAUAUAGUUCUAGAGGCGCCUCUUUGAACUAAGAUUUUCCUUGAAUACAACCAAGCUCCAUAAGCCAAGAUAAAGUCAGACCCGAUGUAUGGAAAGUAACAGUAAAGCAGUGGUAUUAACAUAUUUAGCACGUAAUCACAGAACAAAACAUAACUAGCCAUUCAAACAGAGACGGUAUGUUCAUGAAAUAUUAACCUGCACAAAACAACUCAACUAUACUCACCACUCUCAAGAGUUCUGAAAUUAUGGAACAAGAGAAAAACUUAAAGACAACAAACCCCUCAUUUUGAAGUAAUUAAUCCACAGCAUUAUCAUAUUUAAACAGUCAUAAAGAGAAUUUCAGUAAACAUACAAAAAUAACAUAUAAAUUUAAAGGAUAAACUCUUUACAGAAACCUAAUCCUAAAAUCAAAAUGCAAGGAUUUGAAUUAUACCCACGGCCAAGUCUGUGGCUUGAACAGAAAUGAGGGUUGUCGUGUUGAAGGAGAGGUUCUGGGUGUGAAAGUGAAUCUGGGACCGUCGGAUUUUGAGAGGAGGUGCGUGAGAGUAAGGGACAGGGAAUGGUUUUGCUGCUUGUGGCGGCGAGGUCUCGGAGGUGAAGGAAUGGUAAUGAUGGUGGAGAAGGCGUGACAGGCAACUAAGAUGUGGAUCUCCUUGAAAGAACGGAGACGGAGAUGGAGAGUGUCGGGUUGGUGAAAGAACGGAGAUGAGCUGUGUCGUGGAGGUAGAGAGAAGGAACUGGUUCUGUGAACUUCUGGUUCGGUGGAUUUGGGAACGACGUUGGCGAGGGAGAAGCUGGGUGGUGGACUUUGGAGCAGAGGCUGUUGCCUGAGUUUUGAUGUUUAACUUCAAAUUUCCGUAUUUUUUCUCCACAGCAGCAAAAAUUAAAGGUUUAUAUAGGGUUCUAAAACUCUCGACUCAAUGCCAAAAAUUAAAGAAAAAUUUGGAGAUAAAAGAAAAGUUGGAUAUUAAAGCUCCAUUGUUUUAUAAAAAAUAUUUUUUAAAAAAAUAAUUUUUUAUAUUUUUAAAUAUUUAUAAUAUUUAAAAUUUUAAUUAAUAAAAAAUAUAUUUAUUAUUAAAUAAAUUUAAACUAGUUUUUUAAAUUUCUUUUAAAAUAAUAAAUUAUUUUUCAUUUUUUGAAAUCAUUAUAUAUAAAUUUGUUAAUAAUAAAAGAUAAAUUAUUUUAUUAAAAAAUAUUUUUCAUAUUAAAUAUUUUUUAAAAUAUAAAUUAUUUUUAUAACAAACGAAUUGAGUUGUGGACUUUUUUUUUUAAUUUAGCCUUCAUUUAUUUAUAAAAAAAAUAACUUAUAUUUUUUUAUGAAAAAUAUUUUUCAAUAAAAUAUUUUAUUUUUUAUUAUUUAAUUUUAAUUUAAAAAAUAAAUUUUGUUAAUGUAUAUACAAUAUUAAUAAGGAUAUUAAGACAUAAAAAUAAUUUAUUUUUUUUUUAAAAUAUAUUUUUUAUUAAUUAAAUUUUUUUAGUAAUUCAAACACUAAAAAUAUAAAAAAUAUUUAUCAUAAAAUAAAUGUUGUCUUAAUAGUUAAAAAAAAUUAAAGGAUUAAUAAUUAAGCCUCAUUUAUUUAAAAAAUAAUUUAUAUUUAAAAAAUAUUUUAAAUAUUUUUUAACUGAAUAAUUUAUUUUUAAUUAUUUAAUUUUAAUUUUAAAAAAUUAUUAAUAAAUUUAUAAAAAAAAUUAAUAAAAAUUUUAAGGGUAAAAAAAUAACUUCAUCUUUAUAAAAAAAAGUUAUUUUUCUUAAUACUCUAUUUAUUUACAGAAAAUAAUUUAUAUUUAAAAAAUACUUUUUAAUAAAAUAAUUUAUUUUUAUUAUUUACUUUUAAUUUAAAAAAUAAAAUUUAUUAAUAAAUAUAUAAUAAUUUUAAUAAAAUAAAAUUAUUUUUCUUAAAAUAGCUUUUUUAUAUAGAAAAAUAUUUUUUAUUAAUUGAAUUUUUAAAACGUCUCAAACGCUAAAAAAUAUAAAAAUAUUUUUUAUUUUUUAUGAAAUAAAUGAAAUCUCCUUAAUUAAUUUUUUUAAGUACUUUAAAACGUCAAAAAAUAUAAAACUUACGCUAAAUAAAUGGAGUCUAAAAUUAAAAUAUACAAAUUACUUUAACAAAUUUUAAUCCAAGGAUAUAAAUUAAAAGUGCUUAUAAAAAUCAAAUGCUAGAAUUUAAAAGUAUUAAAAUUAAAAUUUUCUUUUCCAUUUUUUAAUUUUAUUUUUUAAAUUAAAAUUAAAAUACUAAUUUAAUAUAAAUUAAAGUAGAAGAAAUAAUUAAAAUUUUAAAAUUAAAAGGUUAAUUAAAAAGAAAUUAGAAUUUAAUAAAAUAAAAAAAUUUUCAAUAAAAUUUGAUUAAAACCCAACUUCAAGUAAAAAUUUAAAAAGAUAAUUUAAUAUUUUAAUUUUUUUACUUUUUCAUUUAAUUUUUUUUUUCUUGAAAUUAUGUGGAGAAAAUAAAAUGUUUAUAAGUCUCAGCGAUGCAAAGGGAUGGAGAAUGAUGCAAAGCGAUGUAAUAUUUUAAAGAGGUAUUACAUAAUUGGAUAAAACAUAUAAUUUUUACUUUUAAAUUUAUAAUGAUAUUUAAUUAUUUUGUAUAUUAACUUUUUAUUCAAUUUCCUCAAAAUUUUAAUUAUGUAAAAUAAUCCAUUUUACUGAAAAUUUCAAAUAUUAUUUUCACAAAUUUAUAAUAAAAUAUUUAUUUAAUAUUUAAUUAAAAAAAAUCAUAUAGUAAUACAUCCGCUAAAACCUUGAAUGAACAUAUACGAAAAUUUAGUAUAAUCACAACUAUUUCUAAUUUAAUAAACUAUUUUAAUGGGUGAGUUGUUGACUAAUUUUUUAAAUGUUUCUGUCUCGUCAAAAGUGAAAGAUUUAUGUUGGAGAGCUUGUAGAAAUAUAUUGCUCUUCAAAAGUGAAAGAUUUAUAUUGGAAAGCUUGUAGAAAUAUAUUGCGUACAAAGAAUAAUUUAAGGUAAAGGGGUGUGAAUGUAGAUACUAAAUGUGAUAAGAAGAUUAAAAUGUCAAUAAUAUUUUGUUGCAUUGUCAUGUGUCAAAUGAGGUUUGGAGGUUAGGGAGAGUAGGAGAUUUACAGCCUAAUAAGCCUAAUAAUAAUUUUUUAAAUUUUUUAUUGCAGAUUUUGAAAUCUUAAGCCAAGUUUGAAAAACUUUUAUAAUAGUCUGUGUAUGGAGAUUAUUGUCAGCAAUAAACUUUUUAUUAUGGAACCAGAUGCAAAAUUCAACAGCUCAUCUUGUGAAAAAACGUCAUCUAUCAUAUAUUGGAUUGAAAAAUUGCUCAACGUAUUGGUGCUUUACAUGGAAAUACCACUGCUACUUUAUAUUAGGGCAGGAACUUGUUUAUGAAACUUGUUUUAUUUCUCUAACCCUGCUCGUGAUACUGAAUGCAUUCCUCUCCAAAUUCGUGUGUCUUCAAAUUUGGAUAAUUUCAAUUAAUUUUGUCAAAUUGAUGGGGUUUUGUUUCAAGUUCAAGAAUUUAUUGGCUACGAUUUUAUUGUGGAAAACUCUGAAGGUAUAUUUCAACGUGGUGUUUCUGGUUUCUCAAAAGGUAAUGGUACACCGAUAGUUAUUGAAACUUUAGCUCUCCGUCACUGUUUGCUCUUUGCGACGGAAUUUUUUGUCUUUUAAUGGCUGUAUUCUUAUGAACUGUUUGCAAGUAAUUCAGACUCUUCAGUCUCCACAUUUAGACAUUUUUAAACUUGAUUUAAUUUUGAAUGAUUAUAAAUUUUUGUUAGACUCUAGAACUGAUAUUUCUAACUGCUCAUAUUUUAACUAUAUAAUCUAUUAGGUAUAAUCGUCUUUUUGUUUGGGAUGAUAUCUCUCUUUGUUUGAUGGAAUUUUAUUAAUACAACUAUUAAUUUUACUUUUAAAAAAAAUCGGCACAUUAAAAAAUAAAGUGUUCAUAGCAAAAUAAAAUUUAAACGUAUAUAAUAACAUAUUUCUCUUCAAAUAUACAGUUAAUAAGGAUAUAUACUUAGAAAUAAAUUAAUUUACUCAAAACCUAAAGCCAACUUUUGAACCGAUAAAUUAUUUUAUCAAAAGUAAAUAAAAAUUAAAAAUAUCUUACGGGAAAAUCAAAUGUAAAUAAAUUCUAAUUGAAGAAUAAGAUCAAUUUGUGAGAAUUGAUUAUAGAAAUAAAAAUAUCUUUUAUUUAUUUUAAUAAAUUAGUUCUAGUUAUAAAAUACGUUUCACAUAAUCAAUCUCUCAUUAAGUGUAAAUUAAUUAGAAAAUAUUCGCUAAUUAGUCCUAGUCAACAAACAACUCAAAUAAUGUCUAUUAAAUUUAAUUUACCAAGCGCCUUAAAAAUUAGAGAGACUCAAUUCUAACCCGCAAAUUAAAUUACAGUAGUGAGUUUAAGUUAGAUCAUGCAAUUCCUUAACAGUUAAGCUAUUGUUGAAUAAUUCAAGCUAUUACAGAUUUAAAAUAUACAAACUAACAAUAUAUUACCUUGAAAAUAUGAAUAAUGAGCCCUAUUAAUCAAAGCAAUAAUAAGAAGAAGAAUUGAAAUUGCAUAAAUAUUAGAAAAAUGAAGAUAAAUAAUAAUAUUUAGAUCUCACGAUCUAUGAAAAAACUGAAAUUUCAACUUAAACUUCAACCUAUCUCCAACUAGAACUAAAAAUAUUAGUCACACAUAGCUAAAAGAAAGCAUAAGAAGAAAGAAAAAAAAUUCUACAGAGGAGAGGAUAUGUCGGCCAUAAGAGGGGAUGUUUUUGCCAUUCACGAAAGUGUGGUAUUUAUAGCUUAAUCCUAACAAAAUCAUCAUUAAUCUUUCUUAAAAAGCUUUGAUUUAAAUAUUUUUAACGAAAUAAUUCUCUUGAUUUAUUUUAUAAGAGGUACGGAAAUUUACUAAUUUUUGGAGAAAUCAUAUCGUGAAAUCUGAAUUGAAAUACGUGAGAUCAUAUACUUUUUAAGGAAGGGAUCUGAUUUUAUUUCUUUUACCGCAAUAGGUGUACUUUUUGCUAUUUUUUGGAGGUUUAUCCAAAGAUUUGGGCAAGUUUUUUAUUAAAUUGAGACACCGCAUAUAAUCGAUUUUUUUUCUUAUUGUCUUUGCUAUAUUUUGCUUUUCUGCGAAAACAUAAUAAAAGACCCAUAAUUAAUCAAAAAUCACUUAAAUUGGUGAUAGAAUAAGAAAAAUAUAUAUUAAAUUGUACUCCAUCAAUAAUAAAUUUAAAAUUAAAAUGUUUGAAAAAAAUGAAAAAUAUAUGCAACUUAAAAAUUUUGAGAAGAGGUAUGGAUUUUUAAAGCAAGGCUUUAGGAGUUGGUGGGCUAAGAAGGUUUCUCUUUA
rnacentral:lncRNA from 1 species